UGGGGAAUUUUGGACAAUGGGCGAAAGCCUGAUCCAGCAAUGCCGCGUGCAGGAAGAAGGCCUUCGGGUUGUAAAGCACUUUUAUCAGGAACGAAAAGCGGAGGGUUAAUACCCAUCCGUGCUGACGGUACCUGAGGAAUAAGCACCGGCUAACUUCGUGCCAGCAGCCGCGGUAAUACGAAGGGUGCAAGCGUUAAUCGGAAUUACUGGGCGUAAAGCGUGCGUAGAUGGCCGAUUAAGUCGGAUGUGAAAGCCCCGGGCUCAACCUGGGAACGGCAUCCGAUACUGGUGGGCUAGAGUGCGGUAGAGGAGAGCGGAAUUCCCGGUGUAGCGGUGAAAUGCGUAGAGAUCGGGAGAACAUCCGUGGCGAAGGCGGCUCUCUGGACCAGCACUGACGUUGAGGCACGAAAGCGUGGGGAGCAAACAGGAUUAGAUACCCUGUAGUCCCUGAGCGGGCUGGCAAGGCGCAU
rnacentral:rRNA from 1 species